rnacentral:misc_RNA from 1 species
AUGCUUUUUAUCAUAAUUAGUAAAUGGUGAAAAUUAUAUUUAUUUUUUAUGAAAAUAGUUUUUUUAGGUUAUAUAUACGUAAAAAUUAAAAAUUAUAUAAAAAUAUUUAAAUAUAUUUUCAAUGAUAUCAUUUAUAAAAUAAUAUUAAUCUGCGCAUUAUACAAGCUAACUUCUAGUUAAACAUAUUCUGGGUACCAAACUGAUUAAUUUAGCAAAAUUUUAAAAAAAAAAUAUCGUACAUUGGGGCCUCCGCCCUCGUUUGAGUUAAAAAAAAAAAAUCCUACAUUCUGACAUAAUAAGUUUUAUUCGUACUAUUGAAAAAUUAUGGUUGAUUCGCAAAAUUGACUUAAUAUUCCAACAUUUUAUUGGCUUAAUAUUUUCCUAUUGUAGGAUUAUGCAAAUUCAAAAGUCU